rnacentral:rRNA from 1 species
AUUGAACGCUGGCGGCAGGCCUAACACAUGCAAGUCGAACGGUAACAGGAAGCAGCUUGCUGCUUCGCUGACGAGUGGCGGACGGGUGAGUAAUGUCUGGGAAGCUGCCUGAUGGAGGGGGAUAACUACUGGAAACGGUAGCUAAUACCGCAUAAUGUCGCAAGACCAAAGAGGGGGACCUUCGGGCCUCUUGCCAUCGGAUGUGCCCAGAUGGGAUUAGCUUGUUGGUGGGGUAACGGCUCACCAAGGCGACGAUCCCUAGCUGGUCUGAGAGGAUGACCAGCCACACUGGGACUGAGACACGGUCCAGACUCCUACGGGAGGCAGCAGUGGGGAAUAUUGCACAAUGGGCGCAAGCCUGAUGCAGCCAUGCCGCGUGUAUGAAGAAGGACUUCGGGUUGUAGAGUACUUUCAGCGGGGAGGAAGGGAGUCAAGUUAAUACCUUUGCUCAUUGACGUUACCCGCAGAAGAAGCACCGGCUAACUCCGUG